rnacentral:rRNA from 1 species
UUAGUCUUGUAAUUUAAGACUGGGAUGAAAGGAUAUACUAGAAAAUGUCUUUCUUAAUUAUUUAUUUUUAAUUUUACUUUUUAGUAAAAAGGCUAAAAUAUUUCUUUUAGACAAGAAGACCCUAUAAAACUUUACAUAAAAGAGUUUAAUGAACUAUGAAUAUGUUCUGCUGGGGCGGUAGGAAGAUAAAACACUUUCAAAUCUUGAAAAUAUUAUUAUUUUAAUACCCAAAACUUUUGAAAAUUAAAUAAGUUACUUUAGGGAUAACAGCGUUAUAUAUUUUAAGAGCUCUAAUUGACAAAUAUGUUUGCGACCUCGAUGUUGGAUUAAAUUUCCUUUAUUGCGCAAGAG